UACGUAGGCAGCGAGCGUUGUUCGGAAUUACUGGGCGUAAAGAGUGUGUAGGCGGUGUUCCCAGUCUGUUGUGAAAUCUCCCGGCUUAACUGGGAGGGGUCAUCCGAUACUGGCGGGCUCGAGGCAGGUAGGGGGAAGUGGAAUUCCCGGUGUAGUGGUGGAAUGCGUAGAUAUCGGGAGGAACACCAGUGGCGAAGGCGACUUCCUGGACCUGUUCUGACGCUGAGGAGCGAAAGCGUGGGGAGCAAACAGG
rnacentral:rRNA from 1 species